rnacentral:piRNA from 1 species
UGGAACUUCAUGACUGCACACUCGCCU